rnacentral:rRNA from 1 species
AUUGAACGCUGGCGGCAGGCCUAAUACAUGCAAGUCGAGCGAGUGGCGGACGGGUGAGUAAUAUAUGGGAAUCUGCUCUGUCGUGGGGGAUAACGUCGGGAAACUUUCGCUAAUACCGCAUACUAUCAAAUGCGCCCAGUUGGGAUUGGCUAGUGGGCGGGGUAAUGGCUCACCAAGGCGACGAUCCCGAGCUGGUCUGAGAGGAUGAUCAGCCACACUGGAACUGAGACACGGUCCAGACUCCUACGGGAGGAAGCAGUGGGGAAUAGUGGACAAUGGGCGAAAGCCUGAUGCAGCCAUGCCGCGUGUGUGAAGAAGGCCUUCGGGUUGUAAAGCACUUUAAGCUGGGAGGCGUUACCCACAGAAUAAGCACCGGCUAACUCCGUGCCAGCAGCCGCGGUAAUAC